CCCAACUAUCCCUAUUAAUCAUUACGGUGAUUCAGAAACCAACAAAAUAGGACGGUGGUCCUGUUUUAUUAUUCCAUGCUAAUGUAUUCAGACGUAAGCCUGCUUUGAACACUCUAAUUUUUUCAAGGUAAAGGUCCUGGUUUCCCACCACGCUAAAUUAAUAACAUGAUGGUUCCCCAGAAGGUAGGAAUUCUACACGCUAGUACAGACUGGUUAGCCCGACCAACGGUAGAACCCCGAAAUUCAACUACGAGCUUUUUAACUGCAACAACUUUAAUAUACGCUAUUGGAGCUGGAAUUACCGCGGCUGCUGGCACCAGACUUGCCCUCCAA
rnacentral:misc_RNA from 1 species